ACAUACGACCAUAGACUGAGGAGAAUUGGGCAUCCCGUCCGCUCUGCCAUACACAAGCCUCAGAUCGGCAGAUUAGUAGUUGGGUGGGUGACCACCAGCGAAUACCUGCUGUUGUAUGUU
rfam:Phialocephala subalpina strain TAMH 11012 genome assembly, contig: PAC_scaffold_011